GGGAACUGUCCGUUUUCGGCGCCCCCCUUCAGUUCAAAGCCCAGCUGGCCCUCCGGGUUCCUGCCAAUGACACUCUCGUGGACUUUGCUAGUCCAGUGGCUUUUCUUUUUCAAGCUUUUGGACAUGGCAGUAGGACUAGAAACUCCUGAGGAAGCACCUGGAAGUUAACUUCACUCUCACAAUGCAUUUGUCAAGUGUUGCCCAAGAGAGCAGAAGAGAAGCCUGCCUCCGCUAGUUGCAAGAAAAUCACAGACAUAAUAUCCGCCUUGAGGCUCCCUUGCAAAAUCUUACUGAAGCUAGGAUUUGGUCUAAAAUCACUUAUUUUCCUAUCUUGCUUAUUCUGUAACUGUCUUUUUUAGAAUGAUUUCCUUAAUAAUCAUUUACAUCCAAUCAUAUUCUCAAGGUAUGGCUCUAUGAAGCCCUGCUUAAUAUUUUUCUGUUUGUUUCUAUAGAUGAGGAAAUAGAAGUCCUCAUAUUGUAAAUUACUUAACUAACAUCAGCAAGAAUGGGGUUGUGAUUUGAUUCAUGUCCAUGUGACUUUAAAGUCAUUGUCCUAGGUUACAUUUAAAGACCUUAUUAACCUUAUUAGUAAGUAUAUAUUGUGAGUUGAUUUUUGUAAGUAGAAAUGAACAGAAAACUUGACAUUUGAUUGACUACAGACACAAAAAUUCUAUCCAUAUGUUAAGAAAUCUGUCUCACCUAAAAAUCCUUGUCAGAGAUGUACAGAGAAGUUGCAUGCUUUGAAAAUGAUAGCAGUUCAGUAGAUAUUCAAACACUAUUGAUAUAUAGGCUUAUGUGAGCAUUUCUUUUUUGUUUCCUGUUGCUUCUGUAAUAAAAAUAACACAGAGAUGAUAGUUUGUAGACCACACUCAUUUAUACAGUUAGGGUUGAGACUUCUAACACAGAUUAUCCUUAGUUACAGUCCAAAUAUUAGAGUCUGUGCUCUUUCUGGAGGCUAUGGGGGUGGGGCACUCCUAUUUCUUUAUCUGGUUUGCUCUGUAUCCAAAAUCAUGAUACCUGUCAGAGUCCUUCAUGCAUCCCAUCACAGUAAUUCAGACUCCCACUUUUCAAGACUCCUGUGAUUAUUCCAGACCAUCCAGAAAAUCCAAGAUCUUAUUUUAGACUUAGCUGAUUUAGCAGUUUAAGUUCCAUAUUCAACUUCUCCUCACUUUGCCACAUAGCAUCUCAAACUCGGAGAUUCUGCUGAUUAGACAUUGAAAUCUUGUGGGGGGGGGGGGGCGUUGCACAGCUCUGCCUACUAUAGCUUCACAGAACAUACUGUCUCCUGUCCUCAUUUUAUCACUUCAAGGUGACAGCCUGCCUACAAUGGACAUCUCCCUUCAUAUGCUUAUAAGGUUGAUAUCCCAGGGAAGUUAAGAUAAUGUGGAUUCUUUACAACACUCAGAUAUUAAAACAAGACCCUUGCUAUAUUAGGAAAGUCAGAAAUUUCAAAACUGAAAUUUGUGACAUUCAUAUUAAAGCAAGGACAGACAAUGCUCUAAACAGUCUUCUACCACAUUUCAGGCCUAGGCCAUCUCAAGAUUCUGUCUAAAACACAGCCCUCUGUCUAUCUGGUUUAUACUUAUUUACCUGAAGACAGAACCCUGGAAACAACGCUAUUUUAAAAAUAAGUUCAGCUGCUUUUUCCUAUUACAAAGACCACUGUUAGUCAUGUUUCCACAUAUUCUUGUGGAACUGUGACUUCUGAGACACUUCCUUGCUUUCAAAUCUGUCUUCUACAGCUAGAAUGGGUGACAAUGUGUAGCACAGUACCCGUGUCAUGUUAUCUUUGCAGUGGUAGGACCUGGUACAUUGUCUGGCACAAUGUCAAAGCUCACUAAAUUGUUUUCAUUAAGGCUAAAUUUAUGGUUUCAGAAGUUCUGUCUAAUGGUGACUCUAACCCGCAAGAGGAAGACCUGUAUGAAAAAAGCUUCAAGGCUCUGAAGAAAGAAAUUGAAGAAUCUGUUGCUUGCCUUGUGGAGCUCCUGUCCCCUUCAGCUCUGAGUGGAGGCUCAAGAAGGAGCUGUUGUGUGGUUUUGAAGAAUACAUGCAUGAAGAUAAAGUUUGGUCUAGAAGAAGGAGGAAGAAGAAAGACAAAGGGAGCCAAACUCUCUUUCUCUACUCCUCGUGCUUAAAAGUUAAUCAUUAUAAACUUGCGCAUAACAAACUCAGUGAAAAAUCUACAGCUCCUCAGCAUGGUAUAUAGAGAGAAGUCAACAGUCUCAGCAAGAUUGAAAUGUCAAAAAUUAACUUAUUAUGUAAAAAUUUACCACUCCCAACAUGAUAUGGUUUUGGACUAUCAGGCAUGGAAUAGAAAACCUAAAACAAAAAACAAACCAAACAAAAAAAGAAAAAAAAAACUGAUAAAGGAGGAAGAAGAAGAAGAAAGAAGAACAAGGUAAAGAGAAAGGAAAGAAGAAAAGGAAAAUUGCAGUGGAGCCAAGAAUACCCUUUGUUGCCACACUGGGGAGAAGAAAUGAAGGACUCGUAUCUUGAGGAGGAGGCAAGUCUUGUUUAAGCAAGUCAUUCAGAUCAUCCCAAGUCUAUCAGGUCUCAUCAGGAGUGGCUUCUUUGUCUUCCUCUAUGGACUGGUAUGGCUGCUCCCCCCUCAGGUAGAGGUGUUCAAAGAUCCAGCCACUGAGUUCAUGUCAGAGACAGUCCCUGUUCCUGUUAUUGGUGAACCCUCUUGGACACUGAGCUGCUAUGGGCUACUUCUGUCAUUUUGAUUUGCAUUUCCCUGAUGACUAAGGAUGUUGAACAUUUCUUUAAGUGUUUCUCUGCCAUUCGAUGUUCCUCUAUUGAGAAUUCUCUGUUUAGCUCUGUACUCCAUUUUUUAAUUGGGUUACUUGAUUUGUUGCUGUUUAACUUCUUAAGUUCUUUACAUAUUCUGGAUAUUAGCCCUCUGUCAGAUAUAGGGUUGGUGAAGAUCCAAAGCGAACUCUUUUACCAGGUUAAAAAGCUAGCCCUCAACAAAUGGCUCAGAUUCCCUCUCUCCUCUUGCUCUCUCUCCCUCUUACAGUUUUGCUUUCACUUUGUCUAUUACUCUCUAAUAUGCAAAACUGUGUUGAAUAUAUUUCUGUUUUUGGAUGUAUUUUCAAAAUAUGACACAUCUUUUUUCCUUUUUUCUUUCUGUAAAAUUAUUUUUUCCUUGCAUGCCUAUCUAAUUCCCAUCUUAACCCAUACAUAUGGAUCUACACUUUAAUGCUUACUGUAUGUCCUUUUUCUUGUCUGUUAAUCAUUUCUUCUGAUGAAUUCUUAAGUAACCAUUAUAAAAUGAACAAACAUGUAUUUAUUUACAAGUACAAGCUACUUUAUAUUUUAAAUACUUUUGUAAAUAUUGUUCUCCAUAUUUUCUCAAAAGUCUUAUCAGACAAUUUUAAUAUACAGGCACCUUGGAGAUGUGCUUCUAUUGACUAUUUAUAAACACUUGACUGUUCUAUUUUCCUGCUUCUUUGCAUAUCUGGGCUUUGUGGAUAAUUUGUGUGGAAGCUGCAAGUUUUGCUGAAUAUCUCAUUAUGUGCAUUUUACUCUGAGGCAAUUAAAUUGCUGUGGAUCCUUAAAAUAAUAGGUGUUAUGUUUUUCUGGGCACAUGUAUGUUCACUGUAACAUGUGGUCACUGUUCCUAGAACAGAGUCCUCGGUUUUGUGAUUUCGGUUCUAUACAGCCUCUGGAAAGCAUCAUUUGCCUUUCUACGAUUCUGCAUGUUUUUGUUACUUAAUGUAAAUGAAGGCAUAUAAUACCUGUUCUGUGUAACGGGCUUGUUUAUUUACUAUAAUGUUCAGAAAGUCCGCCUACGUUGUCACAUAUUACAGAUGAACUUCUUUUAAAAAAAAAAUGUGAAGUUACUUCCGUUGAGUCCUCGCUGCCCGAGCCCAGUCCUCGGUCUCCUCACAUUACAGCUGCACUUCUGAAGUGGUUUCUCAAUGUCUCAGCCUGCUGGCCUUCAGUCCUUUUUGUUCCUCAUAGCCUCAUUGUGGACUUGAGCAUCUUCAAAACUGGCCAAGAACCUGGGAGACAGUUACGCAGAUGUCAUUGGCUUCUCUUGCUGCCACUUUCUGCCUUGUUGCUCCUCUCACACACUUGCCAUUUCAGCAGCUUCACAUACAAAUCUGCAUUUUCUCUGCCAAGAAAGGCUUCUACUAUUUUCCUCUGUUGCCUUAUAAAAUACCUUCAAAUAUCUUCAAUGGGAAUGCACGAAUGAGUGUGGAAGUAAUUUGACACCUUCUCUUCCCCUUAAGGUUGUAGGACUUAACUCGUUGCUAUCCAAUUACUGUAAGUAGUUGAAUUGCACAUAUUGGUCAUUUCUUUUUCAAAACCAUAACAAAGGAAUUCUCCUCCCAACUUUUCAAUUUUAACACCCAAGAAUAUUUUACAUUUGUUUCUUUCAGUGGGACAUACUCAAAGCCCAUAAAAAAAGAUUGCUGUUUUGUGUUUUCUUAACUUUAUUAGUGGCCUUGAUGGUGUAAAUUUUGUUGUCUUACAUUUUUUCGUCAGCAUUGUAUAUUUUCAUAUUAUUAUUUCAUAUAUAUAUAUAACUAAUUUGUUUCUUUUCCUGCUAUUAUUCUAUAAUAAAGAAAAACACAUGUAUUAUGUAUUCAUAUAUUAGUAUUUAAUGUCAGAAUUAUUACUGUUAGUUACUUCAAUAAACAACGCUGUGGUCAAUAUCCUUAAUGCAUGUUCUUAUGUUUUGCUCAUUGG